AGAACGAACGCUGGCGGCAUGCCUAACACAUGCAAGUCGAACGAGACCUUCGGGUCUAGUGGCGCACGGGUGCGUAACGCGUGGGAAUCUGCCCUUGGGUACGGAAUAACUUCGGGAAACUGAAGCUAAUACCGUAUAAUGACUUCGGUCCAAAGAUUUAUCGCCCAGGGAUGAGCCCGCGUAGGAUUAGCUUGUUGGUGAGGUAAAGGCUCACCAAGGCGACGAUCCCUAGCUGGUCUGAGAGGAUGAUCAGCCACACUGGGACUGAGACACGGCCCAGACUCCUACGGGAGGCAGCAGUGGGAAUAUUGGACAAUGGGCGAAAGCCUGAUCCAGCAAUGCCGCGUGAGUGAUGAAGGCCUGCGGUUGUAAAGCACUUUCAGUAGAGAAGAAAAGCCUAGGGUUAAUAACCCUGAGUCUUGACGUAACCUACAGAAGAAGCACCGGCUAACUCCGUGCCAGCAGCCGC
rnacentral:rRNA from 1 species